UACGUAGGGUGCAAGCGUUGUCCGGAUUUAUUGGGCGUAAAGAGCUCGUAGGCGGUCUGUCGCGUCGGAUGUGAAAACCCAGGGCUCAACCCUGGGCCUGCAUUCGAUACGGGCAGACUAGAGUAUGGCAGGGGAGACUGGAAUUCCUGGUGUAGCGGUGAAAUGCGCAGAUAUCGGGAAGAACACCUAUGGCGAAGGCAGCUCUCUGGGACGGUACUGACGCUGAGACGCGAAAGCGUGGGGAGCGAACAGG
rnacentral:rRNA from 1 species